rnacentral:lncRNA from 1 species
GAAUGCAAGUAUAACAUGUGUGGAGAUGAACCCCUUAGCUAGCUUUCCAUCCAUUCAUUUAAAUCAAAUUCGUUUUAAAAUCUGCUCUAGUUUACAAAGUUUUGUUUUGUUUUUAAAUUCGUCCAAGUUUGUGUCUAGUGUUCAAAACUGCCUAGAUUGUGUUUUUAAGGCAGUUUUGAGUGUUUUGGUGCUGUUUUGAGUCUUUUGGUUUGUUUUGGUAUUUUAAAGUUUAGCUUUGCAUUCUUUGAGUCUAGUUUAGUGUUUUAAACUUGUUUUUAUGUAAUUGAGUCAGUUUUCAAGUGAUUUUGCAAUCCCUCCUAAUCCUCGGCCUAGAACAAUCCCUACUUCCAUACUUACUACAAUUGAUAAAAAGAGGGUUAAUUUGAGUGCUAGUUAAUUUUCACAUCAAUCAGCAACCAAAUUAUUCUUCCCAAGUUCCCUACAUGAACUGCAUAAUAGAGACAUAAGCAAAGAUCAUUAAGCUCUGUGAAAAUCAUAAGCAUUGACAAGGCAUUCGUAACUAUGACAUUAUGAUACUCUUGCCAGGAAUUUAACAUAACACGAUCGUGACCAGCGACCUUCACUACUUAUGAAUAUAAGUUCGUAAAGAUUAUGUGAAACUCCCUUAUAUCCUAGCAUGAAAUUCAUGCAUGCAAACUAAGUGUGCACCCUUAAUCAACAUACAAGAAUAAGUUCUGAAUCAAACAGUUAAGUAAAUUGCAUUCACGAUUUAUAAAAUCACAACUGGAAGUAAUCAAUUCAUAUUGCAAAUAUAUUCAUGGCUUUGAAUUUCCCCUAGCUAAAACGAGUUUAGCUCCUCAUGUUCGCAAAACAAAGAUAAAUUAAACUAAACAUUGGAAACAAAGGAUGGAUUACACCUAAAAACGUUCCAACAAUCCAACUUGUAUGGCAAGCACGUCCAAGGGUCCUCCUUCUUCUUUUUUUGUUGCGGCACAAGGUGUGGGUGAAGGUUUGAGUGAUGAAUUGUAUGGAAGAAUGGCUGAAAGUAUGAAUGGUAGUGAAUGGUGUGGCAAGGGCCUAUAUUUAUAGGGGAAGGAAAGGGCACGACUGGGAAUUAACUUGGGAAUGUUUAAGACUCCAAAUCCUCCAAGAAAAGGCUAAGUAAAUCAGAAUCCAAGAGGGAAAAGGGAAAGAAGAUGUGGCAGAGAUUUGGAGAAAGGUAGGAUGCCUUGCACGGCAAGGAAAGGGUUUCUACCUUCUAGAAUUAGGUAAUUUAAGUCUCCUAAUUUAAUUAAAGAUCCUCCUUGUAGUUGGAAAUUAAGUGGUGAAGGAUUAGGAAAGUUUAGGACAAAAUAAGGUAACUUUGGCUAACAUUCCUUCUUUCUUGCUUGCAUCCUUUACUUCCUUUUCUUGAAUUAAUUUCUUCAUAACUUCAGCAUAAUCCUAGCCUCUUUUGGUCUUCAAGUUUGUCCAUCCACCUUGCUCCAUGCAUGUGCUAUCCAUUCCAAGCCCAAAACUACUCCAAAAUGCACCAAAAUGCACUUUCUUGCUACUUUAGCCCUUUGGACAUACAAACACACGAAAAUAGCUUAAAAUACUAAAAUAACUAGGAACUAAUAACAUAAAUGCAAGAAAACAAGCUAACUAAGUCGCAUAAAUAUGCUCCUAUCAUGAAACUACCUGGAUCUUUGCAUUUAGGUGGCAGUUUUCUUUGUAAAACUGCAGAGACAUUUUCACUUACCGGUACCAUUUCCUUUUUCGAGAUCCGUCUCCUUGUUGUACAAAGCUCUUUAAAAAAUUUAGCAUCAAGAAGUGGGAUAUUGACUUGUACCUUCUUGAUGUGAAAUUAAACCAGCACACAAAUUAAACCCUCUUUUUGACAAUUGUAGUAUGGAUAAAUAGGGAUCGUUCUAGGUCGGGGAUUAGGAGGGACUGCUAAUCUACUCAAAUUAGACUCAAUUUUACUUAACUAGACUUAAAAACACUAAACUAGACUCUUAUGACUCAAAACUACCUCAAAAUACUACAAACUACACAAAACAAACAAAUUGACUCAAAACAGAAACUAAAGGGUGAUUUGCAUGAAAAUUAAACUAAAAAGACUCAAAAUACUAAAUGGGGGGUUGUUUUGAUGAAUUUAAAACUUAAACUAAGUACUUGUAGACACAAACUAAAGCUAAUAUGAAAUUGGAUGUUUUUAAGAGGUGAAUGGCUAGCUAGAGGGUCCUUCUUCACACAUGACACAUGUACGAAUAGAUUUCCAGUUAGUCUUCCUAUAAACCAUGAAUGACAACACCCCAGAUUAACUAUGAACAUCACUAAUUAGCCCUUAGAUUUUCCUAAGUUCAUUAAAUUGGACUCAGUGUCGCAACCAAAUUAUUCUUAUCAAGUUCCCUGUUGGAAAUGUGCCCUAAAACCAAUUAUGUGAUGAUACUUUACGGACAUUUCACAUGUUAAACUAAUCUAGUUUAAUAU